rnacentral:lncRNA from 1 species
AUGUCCCCUUCCCAUUGCUGUACCACCAUCACAUAAAAGGAUACCGCUUUAUCUGUGAAAUGUAGAAAUCCCUGGGAACUGCCAUUGAUGUGAAGUCUUAAUCUCCCAUGUCGUUUCUUCAAAUAAAAACUGGUGUGUCUGGAAGCCAAGCAAGAGCUGGAAAGUGGUGAUAAGUCUUUUGAUGGAGACAUGGUUCUGGGCUGAAACAUGUUCCUUUUGGCUGCUUGCUUUCACUUGAUGGUGGUCUGAUGCACAGAGAGGAUGUUAGGGUGCUGCUUCUGGCCUGUGAACUUGAAGCCAAGCAACAAAGCCAUUCCAAGGCUGGGGAAUUUAGGAGACAGCUGACCAGUGAGCUGAAGGCUUUCGUCUAGUGUGGCAGAGUUUCACCUGG